CAAAAAAGGUUAUAUAUGUUUGCUGGUUUCCACAAAAAAGGUUAUAUAUGUUUUCUGGUUUCCACAAAAAAGGUUAUAUAUGUUUUCUGGUUUCCACAAAAAAGGUUAUAUAUGUUUUCUGGUUUCCACAAAAAAGGUUAUAUAUGUUUUCUGGUUUCCACAAAAAAGGUUAUAUAUGUUUUCUGGUUUCCACAAAAAAGGUUAUAUAUGUUUUCUGGUUUCCACAAAAAAGGUUAUAUAUGUUUUCUGGUUUCCACAAAAAAGGUUAUAUAUGUUUUCUGGUUUCCACAAAAAAGGUUAUAUAUGUUUGCUGGUUUCCACAAAAAAGGUUAUAUAUGUUUGCUGGUUUCCACAAAAAAGGUUAUAUAUGUUUUCUGGUUUCCACA